CAGUCGCCACGGGAAUACGUAGGUGGCAAGCGUUGUCCGGAAUUAUUGGGCGUAAAGGGCUCGCAGGCGGUUUCUUAAGUCUGAUGUGAAAGCCCCCGGCUCAACCGGGGAGGGUCAUUGGAAACUGGGAAACUUGAGUGCAGAAGAGGAGAGUGGAAUUCCACGUGUAGCGGUGAAAUGCGUAGAGAUGUGGAGGAACACCAGUGGCGAAGGCGACUCUCUGGUCUGUAACUGACGCUGAGGAGCGAAAGCGUGGGGAGUGAACAGGAUUAGAUACCCCUGUAGUCCCUGUCUCUUAUAC
rnacentral:rRNA from 1 species